UACGAAGGGGGCGAGCGUUGUUCGGAGUUACUGGGCGUAAAGGGCGCGUAGGCGGCGAUCCAAGUUAGGCGUAGCAAAGCCCCGGGCUUAACCUGGGAAUUGCGCUUAAGACUGGACUGCUUGAGUGCGGGAGAGGUGAGUGGAAUUCCAAGUGUAGAGGUAGAAAGUUCGAUAGAUAGUUGGGAAGGAACACCAGUGGCCGAAGGCGG
rnacentral:rRNA from 1 species